CCUACGGGGGGCAGCAGUGGGGAAUAUUGGACAAUGGGCGAAAGCCUGAUCCAGCCAUGCCACGUGUGUGAAGAAGGCCUUCGGGUUGUAAAGCACUUUCAGUGGGGAAGAAAGCCUUGGGGCUAAUACCCUCGAGGAAGGACAUCACCCACAGAAGAAGCACCGGCUAACCCCGUGCCAGCAGCCGCGGUAAUACGGAGGGUGCGAGCGUUAAUCGGAAUUACUGGGCGUAAAGCGCGCGUAGGCGGUCUGAUAAGCCGGUUGUGAAAGCCCCGGGCUCAACCUGGGAACGGCAUCCGGAACUGUCAGGCUAGAGUGCAGGAGAGGAAGGUAGAAUUCCCGGUGUAGCGGUGAAAUGCGUAGAGAUCGGGAGGAAUACCAGUGGCGAAGGCGGCCUUCUGGACUGACACUGACGCUGAGGUGCGAAAGCGUGGGUAGCAAACAGGAUUAGAUACCCCAGUAGUC
rnacentral:rRNA from 1 species